AGAGUUUGAUCCUGGCUCAGAUUGAACGCUGGCGGCAUGCUUUACACAUGCAAGUCGAACGGUAACAGGCCGCAAGGUGCUGACGAGUGGCGAACGGGUGAGUAAUGCAUCGGAACGUGCCCAGUCGUGGGGGAUAACGCAGCGAAAGCUGCGCUAAUACCGCAUACGAUCUAUGGAUGAAAGCGGGGGACCGUAAGGCCUCGCGCGAUUGGAGCGGCCGAUGUCAGAUUAGGUAGUUGGUGGGGUAAAGGCUCACCAAGCCAACGAUCUGUAGCUGGUCUGAGAGGACGACCAGCCACACUGGAACUGAGACACGGUCCAGACUCCUACGGGAGGCAGCAGUGGGGAAUUUUGGACAAUGGGCGCAAGCCUGAUCCAGCAAUGCCGCGUGCAGGAAGAAGGCCUUCGGGUUGUAAACUGCUUUUGUACGGAACGAAACGGCGAGCUCUAAUACAGUUUGCUAAUGACGGUACCGUAAGAAUAAGCACCGGCUAACUACGNNNCAGCCGCCGCGGUAAUAC
rnacentral:rRNA from 1 species